GAUGAAGAACGUAGCGAAAUGCGAUAAGUAAUGUGAAUUGCAGAAUUCAGUGAAUCAUCGAAUCUUUGAACGCACCUUGCGCUCCUUGGUAUUCCGAGGAGCAUGCCUGUUUGAGUGUCAUGAAAUUAUCAACCUUUUCAGCUUUCUUUGUUGAUCAGGCUUGGAUGUGGGAGUAUGCGGGCUUCUCAGAAGUCGGCUCUCCUGAAAUGCAUUAGCGGGACCUUUGUUGCCUGGCUUUGGUGUGAUAAUUAUCUACGCCAUUGUGGUCAAGCAGCUUAAAAUGAGGGUUCAGCUUCUAACCGUCUCCCCUGAGACAACUUUUUGACAAUUUGACCUCAAAUCAGGUAGGACUACCCGCUGAACUUAAGCAUAUCAAUAAGCGGAGGA
rnacentral:misc_RNA from 1 species